ACGGAGGAUCCAAGCGUUAUCCGGAAUCAUUGGGUUUAAAGGGUCCGUAGGCGGUUUGGUAAGUCAGUGGUGAAAGCCCUUCGCUCAACGGAGGAACGGCCAUUGAUACUGCCAGACUUGAAUUACUGGGAAGUAACUAGAAUAUGUAGUGUAGCGGUGAAAUGCUUAGAUAUUACAUGGAAUACCAAUUGCGAAGGCAGGUUACUACCAGUGGAUUGACGCUGAUGGACGAAAGCGUGGGGAGCGAACAGGAUUAGAUACCCUGGUAGUCCACGCCGUAAACGAUGGAUACUAGCUGUUCGGGGCAACCUGAGUGGCUAAGCGAAAGUGAUAAGUAUCCCACCUGGGGAGUACGUUCGCAAGAAUG
rnacentral:rRNA from 1 species